UUCACAAAAAAAGAUAAAAAUAAAUAAAUAAUAAAAAGUACAAAAUGUAUACAAAAAGUGCAUUUUCGGAGCUUAAAAUAUAAUAGUUCGACUACAACAAAAUAUAUGAGAACUUAGAAUACAACCAAAUAUAUGAGAAUGCAUCCAUUGAAAUAUACUUCUUAUAUUCCUAAAGCCAAAAUAUUCAAUCAAAUGUUCAAAAUCAC
rnacentral:lncRNA from 1 species